AUGUGUCUGUCUCAUGUCGAUGUUUCCCUCUCUAUCCACCCCUGCUCCUCCCUCCCUUCCCUUCUCUCUAGAAAUCAAUGGGGAAAAUAUCCUUGGGUGAGGAUUAAAAAAAUAAAAAUAGUGAAAAGAUCCUAAAGCCACUUUCCCCUGCCUUCUCCUACUUCAUGGGUAAACUUCGUGGUUAAGUAGCUUCUCUUUCCUCCCCCCAUAUUCAGCCCACCCAGCUGCCUCCCGCUCCUCAGAGCCGCGCACUGCCCUGGCUAAGGUCACCAAGAGUUGGCCAAACUCAGUGCACUUUUCAGUCCGUACCCCCUUGACCUCUCAGCUGCGGGGGCUCCCAGCCCUGUCCUCCCCAUCACCCACGCCCUCCCUGGCACACCCUCCCAGCAUCUAGGAUACGUACCCGGUUUUCACCUUCCUCUCAGGCCCCUUGUUUUCAGGCUCAUCUGCCUGGAGCCAUCUGAACGACAACUACUAGCACUCCUGUCCCGGGCCUUCUCCCCUCGGGAAUGUCAUCGCCCCCGUUGCCAGAGCCACCCCAGAGCUCGGACCAUGCCACCUCGCUAUCUCAGCCCAGCCCCUUCUGAGCUGCAGCCUGACACCCAGAAGCCUCCCAGCUAGAGAACUGAAGGUCGCCCCACGGCAGGAGAACGAGGCACCUCCUGCUUUGACCUUCCAGCUUUCAUGGAUCUUCCCUUCUUUUCUGGAGAACUUCCUACUCACCCAGCUCUCCCAACUUGUGGAUGCAUUCCUGGAAUUCUGCAGUCAUGUCCCUACUCCCACCUUCCCCCAAAAAGCCACCCCAAGGAAACUGAAGACUCAUAUCCGGAGAAAAGUCAUUAGCCAAUUGCACAUGCUUCUGGAAUGAAUAAGGGAAUAGAUGAAUAAAGGAAUGAAUAUAACAGUGAGUCAAUGAAAAAGAGGAUAAGUGAAUUACUGAAGUCAACGGAAAUUUCUUAAGCCCCUGAUACCAACCAUGCUAGAUGCUGUACUCACAAGAUCCCUCUGCUCCUGGCUCACUGCUUAUGGGGGGAAAUAGACAUUAAACAUACACACACACACACACACACACACACACACACACACACACAUACACACACUCAAAUAAAGA